UCUGGAGGGGAGUUGAGUAGCAUUGAAGCAAGAGAGGCUCUGGGCUCGGUAGCCAGUGCCUGGCAGAUGGGAUUUACUCUGCAGUGAUGAGGAGAAUGGGAGGCUGUGCUCCCCAGAACCAAAUCAUUUACUACUGGUCUCUUCCUGUGUUCCAGGAGAAGUAGAUGUGUGUGGGGGUGUCCCCACAGUCCUGCAGAGGAGUCUGCUGUGCAGUGCCAGAGCGGACAGGAAGGGAAUGGGAGGUGUGACAAUGGAGCUGCGCGCCAGUGACAGGGACCAGGGCUGUGCAGAUGGAGGAAGCUGUCGAGAGGGCUGAGGAGAAGCAGUGGCAGUCCCCAAGCCCACCACCAUCGCCGGUAAACGGAAGGCCACACAGGAGGAGCAUCUGCCUGCUGGUGCCUUGGGACAAUGAACCACUGGUGCUG